UUAGUGAAGUGGCAUUAAUUAAUAAAAGCUUCUUCGUGUAUUCAGAAUGCCACCUAGAUUUUUUCUAUAAUAAAGCUGAAUGAGUUAUUUCCCAUGUAAGUCUGUAUGUAAGUAAAAGAUAGCACGGAGCAGCUAUUUGUUUAAGUGAAUGGAGCAGCCAUACAGCAGCGCUCUCUCCUAUGGGAGGAAUAAACUGGUAGAGGCUCAUUGAAUCCAUCAGGAGCUGUCCGUGGUGCUGCAAUAAAUUCCCCCUGAUUAAUUCCCGGCCACUUGAAGGAGCGCAUUGUCACAGCCCAACAUGUUGCUUUUGUUAGAAUGCUCCUCUGAGGCUAUUCCACUGAUAAAAUCGCCUCCUGCAGCUGCCGCCCCACAGCAGCCAUGUAAUCACUGCCAUCUGCAGCAAUUCUUAUCAGUAUUAUUGCUAGGGCUAGUGGCAAGGCUGCAGCUCACUCUUUCUGCUGGCACAACAGCUUAGAAUAUCCCAGAGAAAGCAUUUGUUCAAUAUGGGAGACUGUCUGAGGAGGGUCCACAAAAGCCAAGUGGGUUGUUUGAACACUUUGCAUCCCAGGAAAGGGGCAGAGAGGGUAACCCUAGAACUGAGAGGCAGUGGUAUAGAGAUGGAGAUGGUGAUAAACUGACUGAAACCGGAGAGAGACUACAACUGAAAUGUCAUUCAGCGCUGCUUUGGAAUUGAAAUGGAAUAAUAUUAUCCUUACAUCUUUUUAUGUCUCUUUCUCUCCCUCCCUGCAGUUCCCAUUGGAUUAUGUCCAAUAAUCUGCAUGCGCGGCUAUGUCUAUAACAAUCCAUUUUAUGGCCAGUGUUAUGUUUAACAGCUCCAGGGAGCCAUAAAUAUAAAGAGCUGUGUAAAGAGACUUCAUAAACCCAGCCAGGCACAGGGAUAAGGACAGGCAUACAGUACGGGUAAGAGAUAAUAGAGUGGAAUUUACUGAUCGAGAAAAACUGUUCAAGGGAAGAAGCAAAAUGGACAUACAAAUAAAUGAAUGCAAUAAGAUAUGCUCAAAGGGGAACCCCACAGCUCAAAGAUUUCAUUUGUGCUAAAGGUCAAUUACAGCCAGAGUGUUAUUUUUCUUGUUUGGUGUGGUAUGUGCAGCAAUGCCAAUCUGUCGAUUCAUUUUACUUUUCACACCAACUGUUGGCUUUCAUGCCUUGUAUUGUUCAAAUGGUUAGAGAUGCUUACUGAUGCACGAAACACACGCUGCAAUGAUUACUGACCAAAAUCACAUUUGAAAAGCUUAUAUAGUUCUCCAGCGUUCAAUCUAAUACAGAUACUGUAUAACACUGAUCAAAUAAGAUGCACAUGUAAGUACUCAAUAUACAGAUAGAAAAUAAAGGUGAUAAAAAUAGCCUUAUAAAUGAGAAAUUAUAUCCAUAUAUCAUAGAAAUUACUGCUGGUUUGUUAGGCACUAAAGUGGAAUAGAAUUAUGGCCACAAAAAUUCCAUCAAAAAUACACUUCUUUGUAAGCAGUACAAGUGAAAUGGGGUGCGUGAGCUAACAAAAUUACUAACUCUGGCACAGACUCUGCAUGCAGCAAAACAGGAUUUCCAUCAGAGCCAGUUAUUUUAAAAGAAUAGGCAAUGGCUGCUCCCCUCCAAUGAUAUAUUCAACCUAACUUUCAAUCAAAACCUGACUGUACAUACUGCAUGAAGCAAAAAGAAAAAAAAGGAACAAAAACAGGUUGCUGAAUGUGGGACAGUGAACAGUAAGCUGGUUAUGUCAUAAACAGUACAGAAUGUUUAAUCGAUAGAAAGUUUCUUAUUUCAAUUAGAUGAAAGUUAUAUUUAAUUUGUAUUUUCAUGUUAGAUCCCCCUCUGUUAGGCCUAGAAAUAUGACUAAAUGCUGGGCAAUGUUUCCUCUAAGUCCUUCUUGGCUAUGCCCAUAUUAAACAUUUGUGUGUGUUUUUUUAAAAAACUUUGUGCUCAGGUCAGGAUAAAUCAAAAAUUUCUUUGUGGCCUUGUAAUUUGUGCGCGUGUAACAAUUGUUACGGGCAGUAGUGUGAGGCUGCAGAAUAAUGAAGCAGAUUGCACAGUGGUGGGUGUCAUCUGGGGGCAUUCUGCCUUUAGGCCUCUCAUUGCUCCUCUGGCCUGUUCAUUACCUGAAAGUUAAAAAAAAAAAAUCUUGAUUUGAGAGAUACUAAUCCAUUGAUCAUAUCUGCUGGGUAUAAAGAGUCAGAAAGGGUUUUCUUUUGUUAAAGAUUUUCCAUUCCUAUUUGACUAAACAAAUAUGCAACACUAAUAAUCAGUCAGAGGAGACUAUUGUUAGAUAAUAAUUGAAAAGCUGAACAGCUGAAGGGCUAUUGAACUGUUAGGGAAAAGAAGUGACUAUACAAUGCAGAACAUAUUCUCCUGCAGUUCAUGCAGUCUUUUGAGUUACAAAGAUAAGGCUGUGAAUUAUCUGGGAUAUGACUCUGCUGAUGCGAGACAAGCUACUGUAACUGCGUAUUGCAGUCUCUCUGUUUCCAUAUUGGAGUCAUGUUAUGCAGACAAUUGCAGUGCUCAACAAAACACAUACUCUACAUUACUUCUAUUUGAACAUCCUAAAUCUGCAUUAAAGUCAAAUUAUAUCAUUUAUAUAGGCAGUGUUUUCUUUUACAUCAUCUUCUUUAGAUCAGCAAAGUAAAUGGGUGCUUCUCGCUCUUCUUUUAAAGCAUUGUUCUUAAAAACAUGUUUAAUAUACUAACAUGUAUUUAUCAAUAUUAGUACAAACUUCCAUACUGAUUAUUAAGCUGUAGUGCAACAUGUAACACUAAUGGCCAAUCAAAGAUCAGCAGGCUCCUGCCCUGUACCUGGCUGGUCAUUGACCUCACACACAUGCCAGUGGAUCUCAAUCAAAUGAAAGAAUUGAUUUCCUUGGUUGGUCUGUAUGCAGCCUCCCAAUAAACAGGACAUGAAAAUGUGUUCUACCUCAUUAGCCGUUUAUGUUAAUUUAUAAUGAAAAUGUCAGAAGCAUUGUGCUUUAUAUUUACAGUUUCCCCCU